rnacentral:misc_RNA from 1 species
UAGGAUGCUUAAUUUACCACAGCUACAUUUGAAUUUUCAUCAUAAAUUCAGAACACAAACAGGUCCUGAAGACUUUUUUUAACUACCCUUUUUUUUCUUCUCUCUUGUGUACAAGUCAUAAAUGCAAGAUACAGCUAAACAUAGACAUAGAGAGGGAUGUAAAUCUGAGAUCUUAAUUCUCAAGUUAGCAUUGUAUUUUGGGG